rnacentral:rRNA from 1 species
UACGUAGGGACCAAGCGUUGUUCGGAUUUACUGGGCGUAAAGGGCGCGUAGGCGGCCUGUUAAGUCAGCUGUGAAAUCUCCGAGCUUAACUCGGAACUGUCAGCUGAUACUGAUGUGCUAGAGUGCAGAAGGGGCAAUCGGAAUUCUUGGUGUAGCGGUGAAAUGCGUAGAUAUCAAGAGGAACACCUGAGGUGAAGACGGGUUGCUGGGCUGAUACUGACGCUGAGGCGCGAAAGCUAGGGUAGCAAACGGG